rnacentral:rRNA from 1 species
UUUAUGGAGAGUUUGAUCCUGGCUCAGGAUGAACGCUGGCGGCGUGCCUAAUACAUGCAAGUCGAGCGAACGGACGAGAAGCUUGCUUCUCUGAUGUUAGCGGCGGACGGGUGAGUAACACGUGGAUAACCUACCUAUAAGACUGGGAUAACUUCGGGAAACCGGAGCUAAUACCGGAUAAUAUUUUGAACCGCAUGGUUCAAAAGUGAAAGACGGUCUUGCUGUCACUUAUAGAUGGAUCCGCGCUGCAUUAGCUAGUUGGUAAGGUAACGGCUUACCAAGGCAACGAUGCAUAGCCGACCUGAGAGGGUGAUCGGCCACACUGGAACUGAGACACGGUCCAGACUCCUACGGGAGGCAGCAGUAGGGAAUCUUCCGCAAUGGGCGAAAGCCUGACGGAGCAACGCCGCGUGAGUGAUGAAGGUCUUCGGAUCGUAAAACUCUGUUAUUAGGGAAGAACAUAUGUGUAAGUAACUGUGCACAUCUUGACGGUACCUAAUCAGAAAGCCACGGCUAACUACGUGCCAGCAGCCGCGGUAAUACGUAGGUGGCAAGCGUUAUCCGGAAUUAUUGGGCGUAAAGCGCGCGUAGGCGGUUUUUUAAGUCUGAUGUGAAAGCCCACGGCUCAACCGUGGAGGGUCAUUGGAAACUGGAAAACUUGAGUGCAGAAGAGGAAAGUGGAAUUCCAUGUGUAGCGGUGAAAUGCGCAGAGAUAUGGAGGAACACCAGUGGCGAAGGCGACUUUCUGGUCUGUAACUGACGCUGAUGUGCGAAAGCGUGGGGAUCAAACAGGAUUAGAUACCCUGGUAGUCCACGCCGUAAACGAUGAGUGCUAAGUGUUAGGGGGUUUCCGCCCCUUAGUGCUGCAGCUAACGCAUUAAGCACUCCGCCUGGGGAGUACGACCGCAAGGUUGAAACUCAAAGGAAUUGACGGGGACCCGCACAAGCGGUGGAGCAUGUGGUUUAAUUCGAAGCAACGCGAAGAACCUUACCAAAUCUUGACAUCCUUUGACAACUCUAGAGAUAGAGCUUUCCCCUUCGGGGACAAAGUGACAGGUGGUGCAUGGUUGUCGUCAGCUCGUGUCGUGAGAUGUUGGGUUAAGUCCCGCAACGAGCGCAACCCUUAAGCUUAGUUGCCAUCAUUAAGUUGGGCACUCUAAGUUGACUGCCGGUGACAAACCGGAGGAAGGUGGGGAUGACGUCAAAUCAUCAUGCCCCUUAUGAUUUGGGCUACACACGUGCUACAAUGGACAAUACAAAGGGUAGCGAAACCGUGAGGUCAAGCAAAUCCCAUAAAGUUGUUCUCAGUUCGGAUUGUAGUCUGCAACUCGACUACAUGAAGCUGGAAUCGCUAGUAAUCGUAGAUCAGCAUGCUACGGUGAAUACGUUCCCGGGUCUUGUACACACCGCCCGUCACACCACGAGAGUUUGUAACACCCGAAGCCGGUGGAGUAACCUUUUAGGAGCUAGCCGUCGAAGGUGGGACAAAUGAUUGGGGUGAAGUCGUAACAAGGUAGCCGUAUCGGAAGGUGCGGCUGGAUCACCUCCUUUCU